CUUUGUACUUUUCCACAGCUUUCUUGAACUGCACCUGUUAGACUGUUGUUGUUGUUAUUACAAGUGGCAGUGCGGCGCUAUUACAGUUUGUUGCGGUUCAAUAAAGCUGUGGGAAGUUACAGACA
rnacentral:pre_miRNA from 1 species